UAUGUUGGUCGAGCGGAUCUUUGAGAGCUUGCUCUCGGGGUUAGCGGCGGACGGGUGAGUAACACGUGGGUAACCUGCCUGUAAGAUUGGGAUAACUCCGGGAAACCGGAGCUAAUACCGGAUAACAUUUUGAACCGCAUGGUUCGAAAUUGAAAGGUGGCUUUUGCUACCACUUACAGAUGGACCCGCGGCGCAUUAGCUAGUUGGUGAGGUAAUGGCUCACCAAGGCAACGAUGCGUAGCCGACCUGAGAGGGUGAUCGGCCACACUGGGACUGAGACACGGCCCAGACUCCUACGGGAGGCAGCAGUAGGGAAUCUUCCGCAAUGGACGAAAGUCUGACGGAGCAACGCCGCGUGAGUGAUGAAGGCCUUCGGGUCGUAAAGCUCUGUUGUUAGGGAAGAACAAGUACCGUUCAAAUAGGGCGGUACCAUGACGGUACCUAACCAGAAAGCCACGGCUAACUACGUGCCAGCAGCCGCGGUAAUACGUAGGUGGCAAGCGUUGUCCGGAAUUAUUGGGCGUAAAGGGCUCGCAGGCGGUUCCUUAAGUCUGAUGUGAAAGCCCACGGCUCAACCGUGGAGGGUCAUUGGAAACUGGGGAACUUGAGUACAGAAGAGGAGAGUGGAAUUCCACGUGUAGCGGUGAAAUGCGUAGAGAUGUGGAGGAACACCAGUGGCGAAGGCGACUCUCUGGUCUGUAACUGACGCUGAGGAGCGAAAGCGUGGGGAGCGAACAGGAUUAGAUACCCUGGUAGUCCACGCCGUAAACGAUGAGUGCUAAGUGUUAGAGGGUUUCCGCCCUUUAGUGCUGCAGCAAACGCAUUAAGCACUCCGCCUGGGGAGUACGGUCGCUAGACUGACACUCAAAUGAUUUGACGGGGGGAGAGCAG
rnacentral:rRNA from 1 species